CAGUAGCCGCGGUAAUACGAGGGGGGCAAGCGUUGUUCGGAAUUAUUGGGCGUAAAGGGUGCGUAGGCGGUCUGAUAAGUCUUAUGUGAAAUCUAUGGGCUCAACCCAUAGUCUGCAUAGGAAACUGUCGGGCUUGAGAGUGGGAGAGGUGAGUGGAAUUUCCGGUGUAGCGGUGAAAUGCGUAGAUAUCGGAAGGAACACCUGUGGCGAAAGCGGCUCACUGGACCAUUUCUGACGCUGAUGCACGAAAGCUAGGGGAGCAAACAGGAUUAGAUACCCGCGUAGUCCCUGUCUCUUAUAA
rnacentral:rRNA from 1 species